rnacentral:lncRNA from 1 species
CGGGGAGCUGGAGCGGCGCACAUGGCAGAGGUGUGCAUGCGGCUAGGGUUUCCUAAUCCUUUGCUGCUGAAAGUUUUUGUUGUGAGCUAGGUUUUUUUAAUUUUCUUUGGGCCUGUUAGGUUUAUUUAAUUUUGUGUAGUGGGCUGGUAUUGUAAUUUGGGCUUUGUGGGUUCUGAUGGACUACAAAAUUUUUUUAUUUAUUUUUUUGGUUGGUUGGUUUGGGUCAUAUGGGCCCCGGGCAAAAAUGGGCCACUACAGGUAUUUUUCCAAAUAUGAACCCUAGGUUAAAUUAUUGCUAAAAUAAUCUAAAUUAAGCUAUCGUGAUUCUAAAAACGUAAAGAACAUUAAAAACGGGGCUUAGAAUCACUUACUAUGAGCUUGAGAAAGUGAAGAAACCCUAGCUAUGGCUUCCUUCAAGUUUUGGCAGCAAGCAAG